rnacentral:rRNA from 1 species
GAUGAGCGCUGGCGGCGUGCCUAACACAUGCAAGUCGAACGAAGCUUGACGGAUGAUUUCUUCGGAAUGAAACCAGAUAUGACUUAGUGGCGGACGGGUGAGUAACACGUGAGCAACCUGCCUUUCAGAGGGGGAUAACGGCUGGAAACGGUCGCUAAUACCGCAUGAUGUGUUCGGAUGGCAUCAUCUGAACAUCAAAGAUUUAUCGCUGAAAGAUGGGCUCGCGUCUGAUUAGAUAGUUGGUGGGGUAACGGCCUACCAAGUCUACGAUCAGUAGCCGGACUGAGAGGUUGAACGGCCACAUUGGGACUGAGAUACGGCCCAGACUCCUACGGGAGGCAGCAGUGGGGAAUAUUGCACAAUGGGGGAAACCCUGACGCAGCAACGCCGCGUGAAGGAUGACGGUUUUCGGAUUGUAAACUUCUUUUCUUAGUGACGAAGACAGUGACGGUAGCUAAGGAAUAAGCAUCGGCUAACUACGUG